rnacentral:misc_RNA from 1 species
CAGAGUUUUAUAACUCCCAACCCUUUGUGAACUUACCUUUGUUGCCUCGGCGGGGCCUACCCGGUACCGAUCCCUUUUGGGAGAAGUUACCCUGUAGCCCGCCGAUGGCUAAUAUCAAACUCUUGAAUUACCCUGUAAUCUGAGCGUUAUUUUUAAAAUAAGUUA